GAGACAGCAAUAAUAGCAGACGAACCCCCCUGAGCCUCGUUUUGGACGGAACCAAAUACCCGGAUGUUGACAUUCCGAAAAGGUGAUCGAAAGUUGCUGUAAGAAAAUUGUUGUCAUAUAGGCCUAGUCCAGUGAUUUGAAACCCGAGAACUGUGACAGCAAAUGUGGCUAGAAAAGAUGUGUCCCCCAUGACAGAAGUAUUGCUAGAAAGAUUUCUGCGCCAUGCCAGAAAUGUCACAGUGGGUGUGACAAAAAAUUUAUGUGUAAUUGUUGGAAAUCAUUAACAUGAUAAUUUGGGUGUUUUUUUGUUACAAGUGAAGGAAAAAACAAUAUUUAUUUUUCGUUUGUUAGCCACAAAGCUGGUUAUGGUCUAUCGUUUGAAUGCACAUUACUACCCAUCUUGAAGGAAAUAUAAUUUCUAUAUUUCUUUUGUUAGCCAGAAAACUGGUUAUAGUCUAGCGUUUGACCUACACAUUACUACCCAUCUUACGCAAUAUAUUGUUACAUUUUCUAUGCUAGUACGAAACCUGAUUUUCGUCUUGUUGCGGCGAUAGCACCUAUGGUUUUAAAAAAGAUGUCCCAUUUGCAAUUUUGAAAAAAAAACCUCCACCAAAAUCCACAUAAUUUUUACAUUAACUUUCUUAGUUCUUUUUUUGUAUCUUAAUGUCAAUAAAAAAAUGUAAAAUCUA